AGACCCUGACAGGUUUUUGUCCAGGGUUUGUGGGACCCCGCCUGGACCUGACCUAGUAGGGGUUGGGGGAAGCUUGCUGUGGGAAGACUUGAAGAAGAACCCACUCCUCCUUUAUCACCCUGUAGAGGCCUGACCCCCCAAUAGAACUUAUUCCUUUCAGCUCAGUGUGCCUCAACCUACAGAGUGGGAGGAAAGGGAACCCCCUUCUGAAAAAUGUUCAGAUCUCCCAAGUACACGGGCUUUCUCUGGAAGAAGACACAAUAAACAAGGACUGUGUCACCCACAUCCAGGGGCUGUGUGGACCUGUGCCCCCUGGAGGUGUACUGUGUAUCGCCUGCUUGCCCUCCCCACCCCCGGUCCCGGGGAAGGGGGUUCUAGGAAGCAAGUUUUGGGAACCCGGAUGAAGUCCAGCCAGGCUCCUCGGCUCUAGAAGCUCUGGUCAGACCUUUCCACCCGGGUUCUGUAUAGGAUGACUCAUAAUCCCGGUUUGAACACUGAAAGUUCCAGCUCUGCUCAACGAACCCUGUCAGUCCCAGGAAAACAGGACGAUAACAGAAUAAACCACCACCACAAAUGUCUUCACAUCCUUUUAGGUCUGGUUUUGCUACCACGCAAAUUUGCCACAAACCAAAGAAAAGACUUGAUUUUCAGAGCUUUUGGAUUUGGGGAUUGUGGAAGAGGGACUGUGGACCUGUAAGCAACCAAGAGAAAUCUGAAGAAGACUAUCGCUUUUAUGAAAAAGAGGCUAAAAGUGAAAACAGCGCUCUGUUCUGCAACCUGUGGUCACAGAGGCCGCAGCGAGGAAGCAGCGAGAAUGGCGCCACCAAGCUCCUUCCCUGGGAACUACACUCAGCUGCUCAGCAUCGAGCCAUCCUAGCUUUGAACUGUGAACGUCUGUGCCUUAUCUCAAUUUAUUUUGUGAAUCCACUAGCAAGAUGUGUCCUAAUAUCAUAGAAAAGCCUAAGAGAGGUUCAUCUGGGGGGUCUGGGAACCCUAAAAAAAGUUUCUAUAUAAGUUCGUGGAAGUUGCUUCUUUGCUUUAUGCCAUUUCAGUUUAUAAAAGUUUGAAUUAAAACUCUCUACUUUCUCGGUAUAUAUACAGAGACGGGCAGACACAGAGAGGUUGAUUGUAAGGUAUUGGGGUUUUAUGCUUUUGAGGAACUGUCGAGUCCACAACGUAGGGCAGGCUGGCAAUUUCAGUAAGAGUCCAUUUACAGUCUCAACAGUUGGAAGGCCCUCCAGAGGCUGAAUUCCUUUCUUAGAGUGGGGGUGGGAGCCUCGAUCUUUUCUCUUAGGUCUUCAGCUGACUGGAGGAGUCCCCGCUCCCCUGCCACACUAAAGAGGAUAAUCAUCUUUACUCAAAGUCUAUUGAUGUAAAUGUUAAUCACAUCUAAAGAUUUUAUUUAUUCUAAGAAAGAGUGUUUACAAGCAGAGGGAGGGGCAGAGGGGGAGAGAGAGAAUCUCGAGCAGACUCCUCACUGAGCACAGAGCCUACCAUGGGACUUGAUCUCACCAUCUGAGAUCAUGACAUGAGCUGAAAUCAAGAGUCAAACUGUUCACCCACGGAACCAUCCAGGCACCACAAAUGGUAAUCGUGUUUAAAAGAUACCUUCUCAGCAACAUCUAGACUGCUGUUGGACCAAACAGGCGGCUACUGAGUUGAUACAAAAUUAAACAUCGUUCCUAUUUAUUAACCCAACUCUUCAGCUUUGAGUGUUUGUCCGGGAUGCUAUGUGAAAGUCCCCACCUUCCCAGAGUUAACAGUCACAGAGGAGAUAAAGCUGGGGGACACAAAACGAUCACAAAGACUGCGAAGCAUUCAGCAUGGAAUCAGUUGCAAGGUUCUGAGCACGGCCUGACAAAGUCCCCUCAAACACAGUCCAGAAAGCCAGAGAUACACUG
rnacentral:lncRNA from 1 species